UACGAAGGGGGCUAGCGUUGUUCGGAAUUACUGGGCGUAAAGGGUUUGUAGGCGGUUACACAAGUCAGUGGUGAAAGCCCGGGGCUUAACCCCGGAAUUGCCAUUGAAACUGUAUAGCUAGAGAGUGUUAGAGGAAAGUGGAAUUCCUAGUGUAGGAGUGAAAUCCGUAGAGAUUAGGAGGAAUAUCGAUGGCGAAGGCAGCUUUCUGGGACAUUUCUGACGCUGAGAAACGAAAGCGUGGGUAGCAAACAGGG
rnacentral:rRNA from 1 species